UACGGAGGGGCAAGCGUUGUCCGGAAUUAUUGGGCGUAAAGAGCGUGUGGGCGGCCAGGUAGGUCUGCUGUGAAAACUCGAGGCUUAACCUCGAGCUGUCGGCGGAAACCAUCUGGCUAGAGUCCGGAAGAGGAGAAUGGAAUUCCCGGUGUAGCGGUGAAAUGCGCAGAUAUCGGGAAGAACACCCGUGGCGAAGGCGGUUUCUGGGACGGUACUGACGCUGAGACGCGAAAGCGUGGGAGCGAACAGG
rnacentral:rRNA from 1 species